CGCAUCUGUGCAUGCAGCAUAUCAAUAAGCGGAGGAAAAGAAACUAACAAGGAUUCCCCUAGUAACGGCGAGUGAAGCGGGAAGAGCUCAAAUUUGAAAUCUUAAAGGGUUUCCCUUUACGAAUUGUAGUUUAAAGAAGUGUUUUCUGUUGAGGUUUUGGUAAAAGUUCUUUGGAAUAGGACAUCAUAGAGGGUGAGAAUCCCGUAUUUGACCUUUACUUUCAACUUUGUGAUACACUUUCAAAGAGUCGGAUUGUUUGGGAAUGCAGUCCAAAAUGGGUGGUAAAUUUCAUCUAAAGCUAAAUAUUGGCGAGAGACCGAUAGCGAACAAGUACCGUGAGGGAAAGAUGAAAAGAACUUUGAAAAGAGAGUUAAACAGUACGUGAAAUUGUCAAAAGGGAAGCGUUUGACACCAGUGUUGUUUUUCUGAAAAUCAAUUAAAGAACUGUUUAUGCUAAGCUUGUUUAGACUUUAUCAGCUAAUCUGCUUAGUUUUGAGCUUUUCUUUAAUGCACUCUUCAGUUAACAAGUCAACAUCAAUUUCUUUUGCUGUAAAAAAGCUUGAGGAAGGUGGCUUGAGAUUCGUCUUAAGUGUUUAUAGCCUCUUGCCUAUGCAGUCGGAGAGAUUGAGGUCUGCAGCGUAGAUCCUUCGGGGCUAAAUGCAUUUGUGCUAAGUUAUAGCAUUUUAUAGACAACUUGUUGACUAUGAUUUGUCUUGUAGCUUACUCGCUUAUGUUAUUUUACCUACGCUUAGGAUGUUGAGCGCAUGUCUCUCUCU
rnacentral:rRNA from 1 species